GCCUACGAUCAUACUACGUUGAAAGCACCGCAUCCCGUCGGAUCUGCGAAGUUAAGGAACGUUAGGCUGAGCUAGUACUACGGUUGGAGACAACGUGGGAACAGUCAAUGUCGUAGGCC
rnacentral:rRNA from 1 species